rnacentral:rRNA from 1 species
AUAAGACAUGCAAGUCGAACGCUGAUUAGAGGGUAGCAAUAUUCUCUAGUCGGAGUGGCGCAAGGGUGCGUAACACGUGGGUAAUCUGCCGUGAAGCCUGGGAUAACUCGCUGAAAGGCGAGCUAAUACCGGAUGUGACUGUUGGGAGGCAUCUCCUGACAUUGGAAGCUGGGGACCGAAAGGCCUGGCCCUUCACUAUGAGCCCGCGGCCUAUCAGCUAGUUGGUGAGGUAACGGCUCACCAAGGCUAAGACGGGUAGCUGGUCUGAGAGGACGACCAGCCACACUGGAACUGAGACACGGUCCAGACACCUACGGGUGGCAGCAGUCGAGAAUUUUUCACAAUGGGCGCAAGCCUGAUGGAGCGACGCCGCGUGGGGGAUGAAGGGUUUCGAUCCGUAAACCCCUGUCAUUUGCGAACAAACCUUAGUUGUGAACAGCGACUAAGCUGAUUGUAGUGAAAGAGGAAGGGACGGCUAACUCUGUGCCAGCAGCCGCGGUAAUACAGAGGUCCCAAGCGUUGUUCGGAUUCACUGGGCGUAAAGGGUGCGUAGGUGGCCGGGAAAGUUCGAUGUGAAAGCUCGGAGCUCAACUCCGAAAUGGCAUUGAAUACUAUUCGGCUUGAGGGUCGGAGGGGGGACUGGAAUUCUCGGUGUAGCAGUGAAAUGCGUAGAUAUCGAGAGGAACACCAGUGGCGAAGGCGAGUCUCUGGACGACUCCUGACACUGAGGCACGAAAGCUAGGGGAGCAAACAGGAUUAGAUACCCUGGUAGUCCUAGCUGUAAACGGUGCACGUUUGCUGUAAGGGGAAUCGACCCCCUUUGUGGCGAAGCUAACGCGAUAAACGUGCCGCCUGGGGAGUACGGUCGCA